UUUUGUUCAUGUUUAACGCAGCUAGGUGCAAGACCACUACAGAAAUGUUACGUCCACUUUGAGUACCAUAACUCAAAGUGGAUGUAGGCUAUACAUGUUUUCCUUAACCCUGCAGGACUUGAAUCAAUCAAUGAAACAACAAACAAAAGUGUGAAGCUCCAUAAGUGAUUAUGUGUUUGCAAUUUUUCUACUGAUUUAAUAGUGACUUUAAUAGUCUGGAAAGUAUUUUAAUGAUUGUAAACAUAUUGUGCUUAUUUAGUCUAUCACAUUGAAAUAAAAUGCAGAAAUGUUAAAUAAGUAUAUUUGCCAAUUUCAGUUUAUCCUGAAGCUUCAGAGCAACCGAGAGCCGUCAACACAACAUGGCUAAAGGGUCUUCUCAUUGGAUCCGGGGUCUUAAAUGCAGUGCUCAUUUUAUUGCUGUCAGCCAUUUCAGUGCUGUGGAAGAGAGCUGCUUGCCAGAAGAACCAUGACUCUCCUCCAACCCCUGAACCACCUGAAAGGGCAGACAGUCUAGAGUAUGAAGUGAUACAGCUGGUUCAGACACCAAGAGGAUCAAGGCCCGACCGCAUAGCCUCAACCAUUUACUCCAGAGUCCAGUUUCCAAAUCAUGAACUCACAACUACUGCUUAAUAAGGUGCCACAUCUUGACUUUGGUGGAUAAUGUGAAUCUACUCUGAAUAUUCCUAUAUUUGUAUAAUGUAUUUAGUGGUGCUCUUCGUCACUAUUGUCUAUAUUCCAGUCAUCAAUAUCUUUGAAGGAACUUGUUACUUUUGUGUCUUGAUUCAUGUUUUUCAUUGUUCAUUGCUGGAAAUACAUGUUCAUUUGUGCCUGUCUUAAAAGUAAAUUGUUGCUUUUUUUGUGAAGCAGUUAGGAAGAGGUUUGUGUAUUCCUGUAGAAAAAGCCCCUAAGCUAUUUGUAGUGUAUUGAUGCUGCAUCUGUCACGCCCUGACUUGAGAGACGGUUUAUUUCUCUAUUUUGUUAGGUCAGGGUGUGGGGUGGGCAUUCUAUGUUUUGUAUUUCUUUGUGUUGGGCCGAGUAUGGUUCCUAAUCAGAGGCAGCUGUCUAUUGUUGUCUCUGAUUAGGAAUCAUACUUAGGCAGCCUUUUCCCACCUGUGUUUUGUGGGUAGUUGUUUUGUGUUUUACCUGACAGAACUGUGCGCUUUCGUUUCCUUUGUUUAAGUGUUCUGAGU
rnacentral:lncRNA from 1 species